CCUGGUGCAGAGGGCAGGAACCCUGGGUGGCAUUCCAGCUGUCACCAGUGGCAGGGGCACCCAUCCCCAGAGUGGCUAGUUUCUAAGCCCCACUUUGGCCGGAUUGUUGGGAGGAAAAUUCUCGGGAUGCUUAGCUGCUGCCCGGACAAGUGGCUCUGGGUUCCUCCCUCCCUGCACUGUGAGUCCCAGAGCGGAGGCACCGGCGCGCUCGGGCUUCCCAGGCUUUGUGAGCGAGCCUCCGCGCAUCUCCAUAGUGAGGAAGGAGGCUCAAGCCAAACUCAGGGCUAAGUUUCACUCUGUAGCUGGGGGCGCGGCCGGCUGUCCUGCACUCCCUACAACCAAGACUGUUCUCGGGGUCCCGCACGCCUGGGGGGGGACUCCCUCUCGGGGGCCGACGCCGCAAAGGACCUACAGCUUCUCGGAUCCCCCUCCCAGCCGGGCAGUAACCAGUGCCCGACUCCGAGACCGCUGAGUGGGUCUCCUGCAGAGUUCAGGGCUCCGAAAUGCCAACGACCAAGACUUCAUUGAGAGAUGAUGGAUGGAUGAGACAGAGAACGAUGAGUCCAGUUACACUUGUGAUCUCCUGAGGCCAGAAAGUCUCAAAGUUGUUGGUUUUUUUUUAAUGGAGUUUUUUUUUUCUAUUUCAGAACACAAACCUAUCAAGUGGGUCCAAUUUUAUUUUAAUCAUUUUUUUUAAAGGGGGCAGCUGGGUGGCUCAGUGGUGGAGAAACAGGCCUAGAGACGGGAGGUCCUGGGUUCAAGCGUGACCCUUCCUAGCUGUGUGACCCUGGGCGAGUCACUCACUUCACCACCAUCGCCCAGUCCUUCCCGCUCUUCUGGGGAUCAUUGGGAUCAAUGCACAGUAUUAAAUCUAAUGCAGAAGAAUCAAUACUGGGAACCAAGGCAGAAGAGAGGUAAGGGCCAAGACACUGGAAUUAAGUGGUCACUCAACUAGAAAGUGCCUGAGGCCAGAAUGGAACCCAGGACCUCUCCUCUCCAGGCCUGACUCCCUCCCUGUCCACUGAGUCGCUCAACUGCCCCUCCUAAUAUGGACUUUUAAUGGAUAUUUAAUUGGCCAGUUAUUGCCUGGGUAAGACACAUGCCUUGGGGAUGGGGGCAGGAGUGGGAAUAGCAUACAUGAUCCGCAAGGCAGGAAGUCUGGCAAGCUUGUUGGAAACCACAAAGAAACCAAGACUUCUGGCUCAUGGAACCCUGCUCCAGCCUCACUGGACGGCCCCUCCCUUGCCUCUCUUCUCUGUCCUUCUAACCCACAAGCCCCGUCUUAAGCUAUUGCAGAUGGACUCUUUUUACAAGUAAGACCACGAGCUUGAACAAGGGAUCCACACAUGAACAGCAGCCUCCUUCCACCCCCACUACAGAGCAGUUUCCUGGCUGAAGGCACGCAGCGCGCUCUGCGUUCAAUUUACGUAGGUUCUUCUAGGAAUUGGGGCAUGACUGUGCCAAAGGGGCCAGGAAAUCUUUCUCUGGAGUAAAGUCAGGUCAAGAUGUCAACCAGGACACGAAUGCAGAAGUCCCUUGAGGGCAGCAGCUCCUCCUGUUUUUGUAUUCCUCAACCCCCUCAAGAGGCAAAGUACCUAACAAAUACUCCCGCUAGUUUGUUGAAUGGAACUGAAUCAGAGAGAGCAGAUUUGCAAACUAGAACAGUGUCCACCAGGAGACCGCAUGGCCAAACCCCAAACAGGAAGGCUAGACAGGAGAUGGAGCUUCCCCAAGGGGUGGCAGUAGCAUGGCGAGACCCUUUCAUGGCCCAAACCAUCGGUCACUGGCAUACAGAGAGCCCUGGUGUUCCUACUUGCCUAUCUCCUGGUCCUCUGGAGCAGGGAGUGCAUCUGCUAUUGGCUCUUCAGAUAUCUGACUUUGUGAACUGGAGGAGAGGCAUGGUUCAAAAUUGCUUUCCAGUAUGAUUUACAUGAUUUUACUUACAAAAAUCGAUGUCAGAUUGCUCACCGUCUCAGGGAGAGAAGGGUGAGAGGGAUUGAAGGAAGGAAGGAAGGAAGGGAGAGGAGAGACGGAGAGACUUUGGAACUUAAAAAAAUGUUUUUAAUGAAUAUUAAAUAUUGUUUUACAUGUAAUUGGGGGGAAAUAAAAUAUUAAAGCAAAACAUGAUUCAUUACUUGUUUUAUAUGGGUAUAGGAUUUGGGGUUUGGGUUUUAAAAGAUGACUCAUCACAAAAAUGAAUAAUAUGGAAAUAGGUUUUGAGUGAUAAUACAUGUAUAACCUGGGGGAAUUGCUUGUCAGCUCUGAGAGUGGGGAGGGAAGAGG